CGCGUGAGUGAAGAAGGCCUCGGGUCGUAAAGCUCUGUCGGACGGGAAGAACCUGUGGCGGAAUAAUAUGCCGCCGCACUGACGGUACCGUCGAAGGAAGCACCGGCUAACUCCGUGCCAGCAGCCGCGGUAAUACGGAGGGUGCAAGCGUUAUUCGGAAUUAUUGGGCGUAAAGGGCGCGUAGGCGGUCCUUCAGGUCGGAUGUGAAAUCCCGGGGCUUAACCCCGGAAGUGCAUUCGAAACCGCAGGACUUGAGUAUGGGAGAGGGAAGCGGAAUUCCUGGUGUAGCGGUGAAAUGCGUAGAUAUCAGGGAGGAACANCGGUGGCGAAGGCGGCUUCCUGGACCAAUACUGACGCUGAUGCGCGAAGCGUGGGGANCCAACAGGAUUANAUACCCUGGUANUCCACGCAGUAAACGGUGAUCACUAAGUGUACGGGUAUUUACCCUGCUGUGCCG
rnacentral:rRNA from 1 species